ensembl:lncRNA SEPTIN9-DT SEPTIN9 divergent transcript
GUCGCCAAGUUUGGGCGCUGCUGGACGGUCCCAUCUGGAGGCCGUCCCGUGCCCCACUAAGUAGAGGAGAAACCGAAGAGAAUCCGAAGAAAGGAUGCUGCGGCCUGGACCACCAGCCCUAGAGGCUGAACCCAAGGACACCCCUCCACCUAGCCCCGACCCCAUUCACCCACACAGACGCACAGGGACCCAAAGCACCCGGCCGACCUGGAAAGUCAGCGAUUCCUGCGAGGGUGCAAGGGGCGAGGAAGAGGGAGCGUCCCCCAGGGCAGCCCCUCCGACACUCGAGCAAGGGCUGGAGACAGCGCAGGGGACGGUCGGCUCAGGUCGAAAGCGGCCCGACAGCGGCCCUGUCCUGGGAGGAACUCGACCUGCAGUGUGCCCGCCGCGGGGACUCGCUCAGCUCCGGGGGCGCCUCGCCACUCCCGGCCGCAGGCACUCAGGGAGGAACUGUCCAACUGUAACUGACAGAGGAGGCAGAAGUGCCUGCCAAGAAUGGAGGGUCUGGUCUGGGGACCAGCUGAAGGCUCAUCGGGCUCAUACUGCUGGCACCAGGGCUGUCGACCAGGGCACCUACUUGGGGGCUUCCCCACGCAGGCUGAGGGUCCACCUGGAAGAUACCAAGGCGAUGGGGCUUGGUGCCGUCCUGAGUUUGCAGGCCGAGGCUCACGCUGCUCUGCCAACACUCACAUACAGUAUCCGCAUCAAAGGCUGAGUGUGGCCAAGUGAAGGAGAAAGCCCCUGUGCGGGCACCUGCAGAGGCGUCCACCCUGCCCAGGGGCCUCUGGGGACGCAGCGCCCACCCUGCCCAGGGGCCUCUGGGGACGCAGCGACCCACUGACCAGUGAGCGCAGAUGAGCGACUGCACCUCUCUGCUUCAGCUCUUCAUGGCCAGAUGGGAGGACAAUCCCCACCUUGCAAGGUGGCGUUAAGGACUGAGAAAGAACGAGCACCAGGCCUGGCCCCAUGAGCACUGCUGGGUCUGGAUCCAGGCGCCGUCCACCUUCCACCCGGCAGCACUAAUGCUUCCCUCCCCGGCUGCACUGGCCCUUAUCUGGGGGUCAGGAACUCACGUGCUGAAUAAAGAGCAACUCUUUUCCAGACA